rnacentral:rRNA from 1 species
UACAGAGGUCCCAAGCGUUGUUCGGAUUCACUGGGCGUAAAGGGUGUGUAGGCGGUUUUCUAAGUUUGGUGUGAAAUCUCCCGGCUCAACCGGGAGGGUGCGCCGAAAACUGGGAGACUAGAGUGCGGGAUGGGAGAGUAGAAUUCCUGGUGUAGCGGUGAAAUGCGUAGAUAUCGGGAGGAAUACCGGUGGUGUAGACGGCUCUCUGGACCGCCACUGACGCUGAGACACGAAAGCGUGGGUAGCAAACAGG